rnacentral:rRNA from 1 species
CCUUCGGUGUCCGAGUUGUAAUUUGAAGAAGGUAACUUUGGAGUCAGCUCUUGUCUAUGUUCCUUGGAACAGGACGUCACAGAGGGUGAGAAUCCCGUGCGAUGAGAUGUCUGAUUCUAUGUAAAGUGCUUUCGAAGAGUCGAGUUGUUUGGGAAUGCAGCUCUAAGUGGGUGGUAAAUUCCAUCUAAAGCUAAAUAUUGGCGAGAGACCGAUAGCGAACAAGUACAGUGAUGGAAAGAUGAAAAGAACUUUGAAAAGAGAGUGAAAAAGUACGUGAAAUUGUUGAAAGGGAAGGGUUUGAGAUCAGACUUGGUAUUUUGUAUGUCUUGCUUUCGGGUGGGGCCUCUACAGUUUACUGGGCCAGCAUCGGUUUGGACGGUAGGAUAAUGACAUUGGAAUGUGGCACCACUUCGGUGGUGUGUUAUAGACUUUGUUGAUACUGCCUGUCUAGACCGAGGACUGCGUCUUUGACUAGGAUGCUGGCAUAAUGAUCUUAAACCGCC